GACGAACGCUGGCGGCGUGCCUAAUACAUGCAAGUCGAACGCAGUGGGGACGGGUGAGUAACACGUGGGUAACCUCCCAUCAGAGGGGAUAACACUUGGAAACAGGUGCUAAACCGAUACUGAUGGCUGGACCCGCGGUGCAUUCGCUAGUUGGUGAGGUAACGGCUCACAAAGGCCACGAUGCAUAGCCACCAUGGAGGGGUGACCGGCACAACGGGAACGGGGCCAGGGCCAUGACCCCUAGGGGAGGAAGCGGUAGGAAAUCUUCGGCAAUGGACGAAGUUCUGACCGAGCAAGGCCGGGUGGGUGAAGAGGGUUUUCGGAUGUGAAAACUCGGUUGUUAGGGAAGGGGUAUCAAACCAGAAAGCCACGGCUAACUACGGGCCAGCGGCCGGGUAAUUC
rnacentral:rRNA from 1 species